rnacentral:rRNA from 1 species
GACGAACCGAGCGAACGUUGUUCGGAAUCACUGGGCUUAAAGGGCGCGUAGGCGGGCUGCCAAGUUUGGGGUGAAAUCCACCGGCUCAACCGGAGAAGGGCCUCGAAUACUGGCGGUCUGGAGGGAGGUAGGGGCGUGCGGAACUAACGGUGGAGCGGUGAAAUGCGUUGAUAUCGUUAGGAACGCCGGUGGCGAAGGCGGCACGCUGGACCUUUUCUGACGCUGAGGCGCGAAAGCCAGGGGAGCGAACGGG